rfam:Pteropus alecto contig163902, whole genome shotgun sequence.
GGCAGCCAGACAGUUUUGCUUGGAUCUGUGGGGCUGCCACGUGGCCAUACAUUCAAACGCUCUGAGAGUUCUGUGUCCUGAGCCAGCCAGAAAGUGACUUACAGCCCAAAGCAGGAUCCGCAGGACGUCUGCUGUGGGAGGCCCCCCAGAGUAAACACUGAGAUUUCUGGGAAAUGUACCUGAGGCCAGACUGCCGGGAAAAG